rnacentral:rRNA from 1 species
CCUACGGGAGGCAGCAGUGGGGGAUAUUGGACAAUGGGGGGAACCCUGAUCCAGCGACGCCGCGUGAGUGAAGAAGUAUUUCGGUAUGUAAAGCUCUGUCAGCAGGGAAGAAAGAAAUGACGGUACCUGACCAAGAAGCCCCGGCUAACUACGUGCCAGCAGCCGCGGUAAUACGUAGGGGGCAAGCGUUAUCCGGAAUUAUUGGGUGUAAAGGGAGCGUAGACGGUUAAGUAAGUCUGGAGUGAAAGGCCGGGGCCCAACCCCGGGACUGCUCUGGAAACUAUUGAACUUGAGUGCAGGAGAGGUAAGCGGAAGUCCGAGUGUAGCGGUGAAAUGCGUAGAGAUUAGGAGGAAGACCAGUGGCGAAGGCGGCUUACUGGACUGUAACGGACGUUGAGGCUCGAAAGCGUGGGGAGCAAACAGGAUUAGAUACCCUUGUAGUC